CAAGCUGGUUUUCAACGGUCGUGAGUCGUGCUGCUAUCUGAAACAUCUAAACUGGAAAUUUUUGAAGGAAAGUGCGGCUUAGCGUCGGUUUCACGGGGAAGAUUGAAUUUCUAGUGAAUUGAAAUGAAACUAAAGCAUAUGUCUUGGAUUCUGCGUUGGAUUUUUUGCUUCUAUAUAUAGGAUCGGACGUUCGAGAAUGGAGUGUGCAGCCUUGAGCUUCUCUUAUGUAGUAAACCUAGAAAUGGAUAACUCGCUAAAAUGGCUUCUUUUCAAAAUAGUAAGCUGUCAGAUAACAAGCGAUACACUGUGGAAGUAAGGUGAUCAUCUCACAGCUGAAGUUUGGGCCGCUUGUGAUUGAAGUCGUCUGGUAGCUCAUGUGUUUGGGGAACGAUUUUCUCAAUUGAUGGCAUGGUUACUUUCACUGACGAUUGAUCCUCACGAUUUGCUUCAUGACAGGGGUUCGUGAUUCUAAGGCCACCAGAACAUGUCGCCCACUUGAACUGCAGCUACGUUCCGUUAUAGCUGGAAUAAGGACAUUUGAUAUUGCAUUCUCCAGAGGUUCCUCCGUAGAAGAUCCUGAAUAUCAGGCAGUGUUGGAAGGAAAUAGGUCCAGCGGUGUUUCAGGCCAAAGGAGACAAUGAAGAAACAAUCAGAAUGAAUGUAACAUGGGAAGAUCCUAAGAUUGUAGGGAUAUUUUCAAGAGAGAAAUGUGUGGCAAUAAAAUUGGAUCACAAGAGAGCAAAGCAACUUAUUGAACAGAGGAGACUUGAGAAAGAGGAAUCAGAAAAUCAAG